AUUUUUUGUAUUCAUAUUGUGUGUGCAUUUAUUUGGCAGGAAUAGCUGCACAACAAUUUAUAUCCAUUCCACAGAUUGAGGAUUCACCAUUUGGUUGAAGCGGCUUAUUCAAGCAACACAAAUGUAGGCGAGAUUCUAUUAUCCGCUGCCUCAUUAUCCUUCUGGGAGAAUCAUCUGAGGAGCUCAUCAAAGACUACCAGGAUGUCAGCAAAGACAUAAUCAAAGAUAGCUUCACUGAACAUGUGAUGAAGAUCAUUGUACUUGGCAGCACUGCAGCAGAGGAAGGCUCCACUCCAGCCGAUGUGAUCAUUGUCAUUGAGGGAAAUGAGGAGCUGGCUGGAUGUAAAUAUCUCACAGACGCGUGUCUUCUACUCAUGGGUUUAACCCUCAGGGGUCGACGGACGCGCCUGCUGGAUUUUUCCCUCAUAACAGCGCAAA